UCUGGUUGAUUCUGCCAGUAGUCAUAUGCUUGUCUCAAAGAUUAAGCCAUGCAUGUCUAAGUAUAAGCAAAUUGUACGGUGAAACUGCGAAUGGCUCAUUAAAUCAGUUAUCGUUUAUUUGAUAGUACCUUACUACAUGGAUACCUGUGGUAAUUCUAGAGCUAAUACAUGCUAAAAACCUCGACUUCGGAAGGGGUGUAUUUAUUAGAUAAAAAACCAAUGCCCUCCGGGGCUCUCUGGUGAUUCAUAAUAACUUCUCGAAUCGCAUGGCCUUGCGCCGGCGAUGGUUCAUUCAAAUUUCUGCCCUAUCAACUUUCGAUGGUAGGAUAGUGGCCUACCAUGGUGGCAACGGGUAACGGGGAAUUAGGGUUCGAUUCCGGAGAGGGAGCCUGAGAAACGGCUACCACAUCCAAGGAAGGCAGCAGGCGCGCAAAUUACCCAAUCCCGAUACGGGGAGGUAGUGACAAUAAAUACUGAUACAGGGCUCUUUAGGGUCUUGUAAUUGGAAUGAGUACAAUUUAAACCCCUUAACGAGGAACAAUUGGAGGGCAAGUCUGGUGCCAGCAGCCGCGGUAAUUCCAGCUCCAAUAGCGUAUAUUAAAGUUGUUGCAGUUAAAAAGCUCGUAGUUGAACCUUGGGCCUGGCUGGCCGGUCCGUCUCACGGCGUGCACUGGUCCGGCUGGGCCUUUCCUCUUGGGGAACCCCAUGGCCUUCACUGGCCGUGGGCGGAACCAGGGCUUUUACUGUGAAAAAAUUAGAGUGUUCAAAGCAGGCCUUUGCUCGGAUACAUUAGCAUGGAAUAAUAGAAUAGGACGUGUGGUUCUAUUUUGUUGGUUUCUAGGACCGCCGUAAUGAUUAAUAGGGAUAGUCGGGGGCGUCAGUAUUCGGCUGUCAGAGGUGAAAUUCUUGGAUUUGCCGAAGACUAACUACUGCGAAAGCAUUCGCCAAGGAUGUUUUCAUUAAUCAGUGAACGAAAGUUAGGGGAUCGAAGACGAUCAGAUACCGUC
rnacentral:rRNA from 1 species